ACGCACGCUGGCGGCGUGCCUAAUACAUGCAAGUUGAGCGAUGAAGAUUGGUGCUUGCACCCAUUUGAAGAGCAGCGAACGGGUGAGUAACGCGUGGGGAAUCUGCCUUUGAGCGGGGGACAACAUUUGGAAACGAAUGCUAAUACCGCAUAACAACUUUAAACAUAAGUUUUAAGUUUGAAAGAUGCAAUUGCAUCACUCAAAGAUGAUCCCGCGUUGUAUUAGCUAGUUGGUGAGGUAAAGGCUCACCAAGGCGAUGAUACAUAGCCGACCUGAGAGGGUGAUCGGCCACAUUGGGACUGAGACACGGCCCAAACUCCUACGGGAGGCAGCAGUAGGGAAUCUUCGGCAAUGGACGAAAGUCUGACCGAGCAACGCCGCGUGAGUGAAGAAGGUUUUCGGAUCGUAAAACUCUGUUGGUAGAGAAGAACGUUGGUGAGAGUGGAAAGCUCAUCAAGUGACGGUAACUACCCAGAAAGGGACGGCUAACUACGUG
rnacentral:rRNA from 1 species